rnacentral:tRNA from 1 species
UCCAGGGUAGCCUAGUGGACAAUGGUAUCUGCCCGGUAAGCGGAACACUGUGGGUUCGGUUCCCAUCCCUGGAC